CACGAAACGUUUGUCCGCCAGCACAGAAACAACUAAAUAUAUUGUAUUUAUUGUAUUUUUAUGAUUUAUGACAAAACUACGCAAAUAUUUAUCAUAAAUCAUGAAAAUACAGUAAAUACAAUAUAUUUAGUUGUUUCUGUGCUGGCGAACAAACUUUUCGUG
rnacentral:miRNA from 1 species